rnacentral:rRNA from 1 species
UUUCCGGUUGAUCCUGCCGGAGGCCUUUGCUAUUGGAGUCCGAUUUAGCCAUGCUAGUCGUACGAGUUCACACUCGUGGCGAAUAGCUCAGUAACACGUGGCCAAUCUCCCCCACAGCGGCGGACACCCUCGGGAAACUGAGGCUAAUAGCGGACACCACACGCAGACUGGAAUGUCGCGUGUGUCAAACGCUCCGGCGCCGAAGGAUGUGGCUGCGGCCGAUUAGGUAGACGGUGGGGUAACGGCCCACCGUGCCAAUAAUCGGUACGGGUCAUGAGAGUGAGAACCCGGAGACGGAAUCUGAGACAAGAUUCCGGGCCCUACGGGGCGCAGCAGGCGCGAAACCUUUACACUGCACGCCAGUGCGAUAAGGGGAUCCCAAGUGCGAGGGCAUAUCGUCCUCGCUAUCCUGUACUGUAGGGUAGUACAGUAUCAAGAGCUGGGCAAGACCGGUGCCAGCCGCCGCGGUAAUACCGGCAGCUCGAGUGAUGUCCAAUAUUAUUGGGCCUAAAGCGUCCGUAGCUGGCCGCGCAAGUCCGUCGGGAAAUCCACCUGCCCAACAGGUGGGCGUCCGGCGGAAACUGUGUGGCUUGGAACCGGAAGGCUCAGAGGGUACGUCCGGGGUAGGAGUGAAAUCCCGUAAUCCCGGACGGACCACCGAUGGCGAAAGCACUCUGAGAAGACGGCUUCGACAGUGAGGGACGAAAGCUAGGGUCUCAAACCGGAUUAGAUACCCGGGUAGUCCUAGCUGUAAACGAUGCUCGUUAGGUGUGGCACCCACUACGAGUGGGUGCUGUGCCGCAGGGAAGCCGCUAAACGAGCCGCCUGGGAAGUACGUCCGCAAGGAUGAAACUUAAAGGAAUUGGCGGGGGAGCACUACAACCGGAGGAGCCUGCGGUUUAAUUGGAUUCACGCCGGAA